UACGAAGGGUGCAAGCGUUACUCGGAAUUACUGGGCGUAAAGCGUGCGUAGGUGGUUCGUUAAGUCUGAUGUGAAAGCCCUGGGCUCAACCUGGGAAUGGCAUUGGAAACUGGCGACCUAGAGUGCGGUAGAGGGUAGUGGAAUUCCCGGUGUAGCAGUGAAAUGCGUAGAGAUCGGGAGGAACAUCUGUGGCGAAGGCGACUGCCUGGACCAGAACUGACACUGAGGCACGAAAGCGUGGGGAGCAAACAGG
rnacentral:rRNA from 1 species